GCUACGAGCGUUUGCUCCUCUUUCUGGCAGCUCUCCAGGCCCUCAGGGCCGUGUCGGGCUCUCGCUGCCCGCGCCUCGCGUCUCAGCUGCUCCGAUGGCCCCUCGCCCAGAGCUCGGACUCCUGGGUCGGGCCACCUGAGGUCACCUCUCGGCACCUCCUGAGGCCCGUUCCCCCUUGGAACUAAGUGGCUCAAGGGCUCGUCGCCUAGUAAAGGACUCCACAGACGCGGGCAGGAUGAAUGAAUGAAAUGCAACGUCUUCCGGUCAACUCGGGUCUGAAAAGGCUCUGGUCUGGCUGUUAUUUCCUGUACCUGCGUGUGUGGGUCCGUAUCUUUGAGUCCGGGAGUUUAAAAGUUAUGCAGUCCGUACAGCGCCCGAUUGACCGCCAGAGAUACGACGAGAACGAGGACUUGUCGGACGUGGAGGAGAUCGUCAGCGUCCGCGGCUUCAGCCUGGAGGAGAAGCUGCGCAGUCAGCUGUACCAGGGGGACUUCGUGCACGCCAUGGAGGGCAAAGAUUUCAACUAUGAGUACGUGCAGAGAGAAGCUCUCAGGGUUCCCCUGAUAUUUCGAGAAAAGGAUGGACUGGGGAUUAAGAUGCCUGACCCUGAUUUCACAGUCCGAGAUGUCAAACUCCUAGUGGGCGGCCGUCGGCUGGUGGACGUGAUGGAUGUGAACACGCAGAAGGGCGCGGAAAUGAGCAUGUCCCAGUUUGUGCGGUACUACGAGACUCCUGAGGCUCAGCGGGACAAGCUGUACAAUGUCAUCAGCCUUGAGUUCAGCCACACCAAGCUGGAGCACCUGGUCAAGCGUCCGACUGUGGUAGACCUGGUGGACUGGGUGGACAACAUGUGGCCCCAGCAUCUGAAGGAGAAGCAGACAGAAGCCACGAACGCCAUUGCAGAGAUGAAAUACCCGAAAGUGAAGAAAUACUGUCUGAUGAGCGUCAAAGGUUGUUUCACUGACUUCCACAUCGACUUUGGAGGCACUUCUGUUUGGUACCAUGUUUUCCGGGGUGGGAAGAUCUUUUGGCUGAUUCCUCCAACCCUACACAAUUUGGCACUGUACGAGGAGUGGGUGCUAUCAGGCAAACAGAGUGACAUCUUCCUGGGAGACCGCGUGGAGCGAUGCCAAAGAAUUGAGCUGAAACAGGGCUACACGUUUUUCAUCCCUUCCGGUUGGAUCCACGCAGUCUACACUCCUGUAGACUCUCUAGUAUUUGGUGGAAACAUCCUGCACAGCUUUAACGUGCCCAUGCAGCUGCGGAUCUACGAGAUUGAGGACAGAACACGGGUGCAGCCCAAAUUCCGUUACCCCUUCUACUAUGAGAUGUGCUGGUAUGUCUUGGAGAGAUACGUGUACUGUGUGACCCAGCGGUCCUACCUCACUCAGGAAUACCAGAGAGAAUCCAUGCUUAUUGAUGCCCCAAGAAAACCCAGCAUAGACGGCUUCUCAUCUGAUUCCUGGCUGGAGAUGGAGGAGGAGUCCUGUGAGCAGCAGCCUCAGGAGGAGGAGAAGGAGGAGGAGGAGGAAGAGGAGGAGGAGGAGGGUGCAGAUAAGGUGCCCAAACUUCCGGCUGAUGGUCCUGCCUCGCCCACCAGCACCCCUUCGGAGGACCAGGAGGCCCCCGGGAAGAAGCCCAAAGCACCUGCCAUGCGGUUCCUCCAAAGGACUUUGUCUAACGAGUCGGAGGAGAGUGUGAAGUCCACGACGGUGCCCACAGACUACCCCAAGACGCCCACUGGCUCUCCAGCCACGGGGGUCUCUGCCAAGUGGACCCACCUCACCGAGUUUGAGCUGAAGGGCCUGAAAGCGCUGGUGGAGAAACUGGAAUCUCUCCCAGAGAACAAGAAGUGUGUCCCCGAGGGCAUCGAGGACCCCCAGGCACUCCUGGAGGGUGUGAAGAAUGUCCUGAAGGAGCAUGCAGACGACGACCCCAGUCUGGCCGUCACUGGGGUCCCUGUAGUCACUUGGCCAAAGAAGACUCCAAAGAACCGGGCGGUAGGUCGGCCCAAGGGGAAGCUGGGCCCGGCCUCCGCCGUGAAGUUGGCCGCCAACCGGACGACGGCGGGAGCUCGCCGGCGCCGGACGCGAUGCCGCAAGUGCGAGGCCUGCCUGCGGACCGAGUGCGGAGAGUGUCACUUCUGCAAGGACAUGAAGAAGUUCGGGGGCCCCGGGCGGAUGAAGCAGAGCUGUAUCAUGCGGCAGUGCAUCGCGCCAGUGCUGCCCCACACCGCCGUGUGCCUGGUGUGUGGCGAGGCAGGGAAAGAAGACACAGUGGAAGAGGAAGAAGGAAAGUUUAACCUCAUGCUAAUGGAGUGCUCUAUCUGCAACGAAAUCAUCCACCCUGGAUGCCUUAAGAUUAAGGAGUCAGAGGGCGUGGUCAACGAUGAGCUUCCAAACUGCUGGGAGUGUCCAAAGUGUAACCACGCCGGCAAGACCGGGAAACAAAAGCGUGGCCCUGGCUUUAAGUAUGCCUCCAACCUGCCCGGCUCCCUGCUCAAGGAGCAGAAGAUGAACCGGGACAACAAGGAAGGGCAGGAGCCUGCCAAGCGGAGGAGUGAGUGCGAGGAGGCGCCUCGGCGCAGGUCAGAUGAGCACCCCAAGAAGGUGCCCCCGGAUGGCAUCCUGCGCCGAAAGUCAGACGACGUACACCUGAGGAGGAAGCGGAAAUACGAGAAGCCCCAAGAGCUGAGUGGACGCAAGCGAGCCUCGACGCUUCAAACGUCCCCCGGUUCCUCCUCUCACCUCUCGCCGAGGCCCCCUCUAGGCAGCAGCCUCAACCCCUGGUGGAGAUCCAGUCUCACUUACUUCCAGCAGCAGCUAAAACCUGGCAAAGAAGAUAAGCUUUUCAGGAAAAAGCGGCGGUCCUGGAAGAACGCCGAGGACCGGAUGGCCCUUGCCAACAAGCCUCUCCGGCGCUUCAAGCAGGAGCCAGAGGAUGACCUGCCCGAGGCGCCCCCCACCGCCCGGGAAAGCGACCACUCCCGUUCGAGCUCCCCUACCGCCGGGCCCAGCACCGAGGGGGCAGAGGGCCCCGAGGAGAAGAAGAAGGUGAAGAUGCGCCGGAAAAGGCGGCUUCCCACCAAGGAGCUGAGCAAGGAGCUGAGCAAGGAGCUGAACCAAGAGAUCCAGAAGACCGAGAACAGCCUGGCCAACGAGAACCACCAGCCCAUCAAGUCAGAGCCCGAGAGCGAGAGCGAGGAGCCCAAGCGGCCCCUGGGCCUCUGCGAGCGCCCCCACCGUUUCAGCAAGGGGCUCACCGGCCCCCCCCGGGAGUUGCGGCACCAGCUGGGGCCCGGCCUGCGGAGCCCACCCCGUGUCAUCUCCCGGCCCCCUCCCUCCGUGUCCCCGCCCAAGUGCAUCCAGAUGGAGCGACAUGUGAUCCGGCCGCCCCCCAUCAGCCCCCCGCCUGACUCACUGCCCCUGGACGAUGGGGCGGCCCACGUCAUGCACAGGGAGGUGUGGAUGGCCGUCUUCAGCUACCUCAGCCACCAAGACUUGUGUGUCUGCAUGCGGGUCUGCAGGACCUGGAACCGCUGGUGCUGCGAUAAGCGGUUAUGGACCCGCAUCGAUCUGAACCACUGCAAGUCCAUCACGCCCCUGAUGCUGAGUGGCAUCAUCCGGCGGCAGCCUGUCUCCCUGGACCUCAGCUGGACCAAUAUCUCCAAGAAACAGCUGAGCUGGCUCAUCAACCGGUUGCCUGGGCUCCGAGACUUGGUGCUGUCGGGCUGCUCGUGGAUCGCCGUCUCAGCUCUCUGUAGCUCCAGCUGUCCUUUGCUCCGGACCCUGGAUGUCCAGUGGGUGGAAGGACUAAAGGAUGCCCAGAUGCGGGAUCUCCUGUCCCCGCCCACAGAUAACAGGCCAGGUCAGAUGGACAAUCGGAGCAAGCUCCGGAACAUUGUGGAGCUGCGUCUAGCAGGCCUGGACAUCACAGAUGCCUCCCUGCGGCUCAUCAUACGCCACAUGCCCCUGCUGUCCAAGCUCCACCUCAGCUACUGUAACCACGUUACUGACCAGUCCAUCAACCUGCUCACCGCUGUGGGCACCACCACCCGAGACUCCUUAACCGAAAUCAACCUAUCAGACUGCAAUAAGGUGACUGACCAGUGCCUGUCCUUCUUCAAACGCUGUGGAAAUAUCUGUCAUAUUGACCUGAGGUACUGCAAGCAGGUCACCAAGGAGGGCUGUGAGCAGUUCAUAGCUGAAAUGUCUGUGAGUGUCCAGUUUGGGCAAGUGGAAGAAAAACUCCUACAGAAACUGAGUUAGUCCGAGGACAAGUAUGUAAAUAAGGGAUGGGUGGGGAGAGGGGACACGGCCGAGGAGGGAAAAGACUUUAAAAAAAAAAAAAAAAAAAAAAAGGAGGGCUUUGAUUUUCAAUUUGGAACUUGGACAACAGACCACAGAACGUUCCAUCUGCAAGUCUUGCCGAGGGAGAAGCUGUUCUGCCGCCUGUUCUGGGGCUGAAUGAGCCGGACCCUUUCCUUUGGUCUGAAUUCUAGCCGCACUGCUUUCUGGACCAUUUCUAAGGCGGCCUUUACCAAGAAGACAUUCCCGCCGGAGGAGGAUGGACUCUGGAGAAAUUCUCUUGCUGAAGAGCGAGCUUAGGAGUUUUUGCUGGUGGUGGUGUUUUGUCUUGGACGCCUCAGUCCUCGCAACCCCGGGACUGGUGUCGACAUACAGUGGGCCACACACCGCCUCUGCUGCCAUCUUGACAUUUUGUUUGAUUGCCAACUUUCCUGGUUUCCCUGAGGUAGGCGAGAACUUGACCUGUACUUCAUCAACACAGAUGCCCCAUCUACACACGUGCCCAGAUCUGGCAGAGCAGGCCAAGACCUUCCCGUUAAAAGCAUGUUUAACUGGAAGUUGAGAGCCCGCUUUGGACGUCAAGAAUUACCUAAGCAUGUGGAUCUAUGUUAAUUCUAGUCGAAGUAAGACACUCUGUACAGAAUUCACCUAUUUCUCAAAAUUUUAAAAUUCAGACUUCAGCCUUUGCACUCAGGAGGGUUUUGCGGCCAGCGCAUGAGCUGUUGUACCUACACAGAUUAAUUUAUACAGUGAGUCAAGUAGAAUAAAUGAUCCAACAUAGCCUUUCUUUUCCUUUUUUCUCUCCUUUGAGGUGAGUUGAGUUCUCGUUCAAGGUUUAUAACAUGGCUAUUUCCUAGUUGUAAAGUUAUGCCUCCAUAAGUGCCAUUCUUGUAAGGUGUUGUUUUCCUAGACCUGCCCCAAAGCGGUUUUACCUUUGUUGAAUUUGUAUAAACAAUUGUACAAAAAAAGCA